GCUCAGAUUGAACGCUGGCGGCAUGCCUUACACAUGCAAGUCGAACGGCAGCGCGGGAGUAAUCCUGGCGGCGAGUGGCGAACGGGUGAGUAAUACAUCGGAACGUGCCAAAUCGUGGGGGAUAACGCAGCGAACGCUGUGCUAAUACCGCAUACGAUCUACGGAUGAACGCAGGGGACCGCAAGGCCUUGCGCGAAUGGAGUGGCCGAUGGCAGAUUAGGUAGUUGGUGGGGUAACGGCUCACCAAGCCAACGAUCUGUAGCUGGUCUGAGAGGACGACCAGCCACACUGGGACUGAGACACGGCCAAGACUCCUACGGGAGGCAGCAGUGGGGAAUUUUGGACAAUGGGCGCAAGCCUGAUCCAGCCAUGCCGCGUGCAGGAUGAAGGCCUUCGGGUUGUAACCUGCUUUUGUACGGAACGAACAGUCUCUUUCUAAUAACGAGGGAUCAUGACGGUACCGUAAGAAUAAGCACCGGCUAACUACGUGCCAGCAGCCGCGGUAAUACGUAGGGUGCAAGCGUUAAUCGGAAUUACUGGGCGUAACGCGUGCGCAGGCGGUGAUGUAAGACAGUUGUGAACUCCACGGGCUCAACCUGGGAACUGCAUCUGUGACUGCAUCGCUGGAGUGCGGCAGAGGGGGAUGGAAUUCCGCGUGUAGCAGUGAACUGCGUAGAUAUGCGGAGGAACACCGAUGGCGAAGGCAAUCCACUGGGCCUGCACUGACGCUCAUGCACGAACGCGUGGGGAGUAACCAGGAUUAGAUACCAUGGUAGUCCACGCCAUAACCGAUGUCAACUGGUUGUUGGG
rnacentral:rRNA from 1 species